ensembl:lncRNA
AUGUUGGGGUCCCAUAGGUUUUGGGGUCCCAUAGAUGUUGGGGUCCCAUAGAUGUUGGGGUCCCUCAGGUUUUGGGGUCCCUUAGGUUUUGGGGUCCCAUAGGUGUUUGUUGGGGUCCCAUAGGUGUUGGGGUCCCAUAGGUGUUUGUUGGGGUCCCAUGGGUGUUGGGGUCCCAUAGGUGUUUGUUGGGGUCCCCCGUGGGUAUUGGGGUCCCCUAUAGGCGCUCAUUACGGGCUCCCCACGUGGCCCGGGGGUCCCUGCGGCCGUGGGGCGCCCCAUGGAUUUCGGGGUCCCCCACAGACAUUGGGGUCUGCGCAGCCACUGGGUGCCCCAUAGAUCCCAUAGAUCCCAUAGAUCCCAUAGGUCCCGGGGUCCCCUGGCUAUGGGGCGGCCCCCCCGCCCCCCAUCUCCCCGCACUGCGCUUCCCUCCCCCCUCCCCCCCUCUCCCAUGUGACGCUCACGGGGUUUUCCGCCUCCCGCCCCACACAUCCAUGGGGCCGCCCCACAUCCCGCCCCACACUUCUGCCCCUCGGGAGGGCGGUGGAGGCCGCGCGUUUCCUUCCGUCGUUGUGGGGUUUUUUCAGGGGAAAGGGUGGAGCGCGGCUCAGCGCCGCCCCACAGAUAUGGGGGAACGCCCUGCCCUAUGGGGAAGGCGGUGUGCUAUGGGGGAAGGCGGUGCCCCAUAGGGAAAAGCUGUGCCCUAUAGGGGAAGGCUGUGCUCUAUGGGGGAAGGCGGUGCCCUAUAGGGGCAGGCUGUGCCCCAUAGGGAAAAGCUGUGCCCUAUAGGGGCAGGCUGUGCCCCGCGGCUGUGGGGCGGCGUCUGGGGAAAGCGGAAACGAAAUUUGCAUGGAGGGUUUUGCUGCGGGGGAGGAAAUGCGCUGUGGGGCACCGUGGGGCACCGUGGGGCACAAUGGGGCGCAGUGGGGCACAGUGGGGCACAAUGGGGCGCAGUGGGGCACAAUGAGCUGCAGUGGGGCACAAUGGGGCGCAGUGGAGCACAAUGGAGCACAGUGGGGUGCAGUGGGGCACAGUGGGGUUCUGUGGAGUGCUGUGGGGCACAAUGGGGCACAAUGGGGUGCUGUGGGGCACAGUGGGGCGCAGUGGGACACAGUGGGGCACAAUGGGGUGCUAUGGGGCACAGUGGGGCACAAUGGGGUGCAAUGAGGUGCUGUGGGGCACAAUGGGGCACAAUGGGUAACAGUGGGAUGUUGUGGGGCACAAUGGGGUGCAGUGGCGCACAAUGGGGCACAGUGGGGUGCUGUCGGGCACAAUGGGGCACAAUGGGGCCCAGUGGGGCACAAUGGGGAACAAUGGGGCGCUAUGGGGCACAAUGGGGUGCUAUGGGGCACAGUGGGGUGCUGUGUGGCACAAUGGGGCCCAGUGGGGCACAAUGGGGAACAAUGGGGUGCUGUGGGGCACAAUGGGGAACUGUGGGGCGCUGUGGGGCACAAUG